rnacentral:pre_miRNA from 1 species
UCUUCAUUGUCCAUGCUCUCUCACUGGUUAGAGUGACGAGAGAGUGUGUGGAAUGAAGAGA